rnacentral:lncRNA from 1 species
GUAAUCUUCACACAACCCAUGUAAUACAUAAGGGAAAGAGAUACAUAGCUGGCUUACAAUUGCCACUUCACAUAAAUACAUGAAUAAAGCAUUACAUCAUCCAAAUACAAUCAGGGCCCAACUACGGAACCAAAAUAAAAGAAGAACCCCAAAUGUGACAAAGGUCCCCCGAUCGACCCCAACUGGGCUCCACUACUGAUCAACUAGAACGAAACAACACAAAGGACAAGAUCUUCAUCGAGCUCCUCCUUGAGCUUGGUUGCGUCAUCUGCACGGACUCAACGGCACCUGCAAACUGGUUUUGGAAGUAUCUGUGAGCCACGGGGACUCAGCAAUCUCGCACCCUCGCGAUCAAGACUAUUUAAGCUUAUGGGUAAGGCAAAGGUAUGAGGUGGAGCUGCAGCAAGCGACUAGCAUAUAUGGUGGCUAACAUAUGCAAAUGAGAGCGAGAAGAGAAGGCUAAGCACGGUCGAUAAAACUAUGAUCAAGAAGUGAUCCUAAAACAAUCUACGUCAAGCAUAACUCCAACACCGUGUUCACUUCCCGGACUCCGCCGGAAAGAGACCAUCACGGUUACACACACGGUUGAUACAUUUUAAUUAAGGUCAACUUUAGGUUUUCUACAACCGGACAUUAACAAAUUCCCAUCUGCCCAUAACCGCGGGCACGGCUUUCGAAAGUUCAAAUCCCUGCAGGGGUGUCCCAACUUAGCCCAUCACAAGCUCUCACGGUCAACGAAGGAAUAGACCUCCUCCCGAGACAUUCCGAUUAGGCUCGGUAUCCCGGUUCUACAAGACAUUUCGACAGGGUAAAACUAAACCAGCAACACCGCCCGAAUGUGCCGACAAAUCCCGAUAGGAGCUGCACAUAUCUCUUUCUCAGGGCACACUCAGAUUGUCCUAGGUAGGGGUAGGCCAGCCCAGAGUUGCCCCUGGUGGUCACCGGCAGCUAACAGGUUGGACCAACACUCAGAGGAGCACUGGCCCGGGGGGGUAAAAUAAUGAUGACCCUUGAGUCUGCAGAACCCAAGGGAAAGAAAAGGCUAGGUGGCAAAUGGUAAAACCAAUGUUGGGCAUUGCUGGAGGAGUUUUACUCAAGGCGAACUGUCAAGGGGUUCCCAUAAUAGCCCAACCGCGUAAGGAACGCAAAAUCCGGGAACAUAACACUGAUAUGAUGGAAACUAGGUCGGCAAGAGUGGAAAACACCAGGCAUAAGGCUGAGCCUUCCACCCUUUACCAAGUAUAUAGAUGCAUUAAAUAAAUAAGAUAUAUUGUGAUAUCCCAACAAGUAAACAUCUUCCAACAAGGAACAACAUCUCCAUGUUCCAACAAGGAACAAACUUCAAUCUUCGCCUGCAACUAACAACGCUAUAAGAGGGGCUGAGCAAAGCGGUAACAUAGCCAAACAACAGUUUGCUAGGACAUGGUGGGUUAGAGGCUUGGUUUAACAACAUGGGAGGCAUGACAAGCAAGUGGUAGGUAUCGUAGCAUAGGCAUAGCAAAAGAGCGAGCAUCUAGCAAGCAAAGAUAGAAGUGAUUUCGAGGGUAUGGUCAUCUUGCCUGAAAUCCCGCAAGGAAGAAGAACGAGUCCAUGAAGAAGACAAACAGACGUAGUCGAAAGGAUCCUCACAAACGUGACGUUAUCGGAACCAACCCGAAGAAGCAACACAGGAAAUAAGCACACAACAUAGUAAACAAGCCUCACAUGAACAUGGCAUGAUGCACAACAAGUAUGAUGCAUGUCCAGUUUAAUGAAGCAUGGCAUGGCAACGAGCACAAGCAAUUCUACAAAUUAAGUGGAGGUCAAUAUGCAACUCCGUUGCAUAUCGACGAAACACCACAUUCAAGUUAUUUAGUUCGAUCUCGUUUAUGUACCCAACAAUAUUAAAUGUUGUUAAACAUGGCAAGAG